rnacentral:rRNA from 1 species
UGCUAUACUGCAGUCGAACGCUUCUUUUUCCCCGGAGCUUGCUCCACCGGAAAAAGAGGAGUGGCGAACGGGUGAGUAACACGUGGGUAACCUGCCCAUCAGAAGGGGAUAACACUUGGAAACAGGUGCUAAUACCGUAUAACAAUCAAAACCGCAUGGUUUUGAUUUGAAAGGCGCUUUCGGGUGUCGCUGAUGGAUGGACCCGCGGUGCAUUAGCUAGUUGGUGAGGUAACGGCUCACCAAGGCCACGAUGCAUAGCCGACCUGAGAGGGUGAUCGGCCACAUUGGGACUGAGACACGGCCCAAACUCCUACGGGAGGCAGCAGUAGGGAAUCUUCGGCAAUGGACGAAAGUCUGACCGAGCAACGCCGCGUGAGUGAAGAAGGUUUUCGGAUCGUAAAACUCUGUUGUUAGAGAAGAACAAGGAUGAGAGUAACUGUUCAUCCCUUGACGGUAUCUAACCAGAAAGCCACGGCUAACUACGUGCCAGCAGCCGCGGUAAUACGUAGGUGGCAAGCGUUGUCCGGAUUUAUUGGGCGUAAAGCGAGCGCAGGCGGUUUCUUAAGUCUGAUGUGAAAGCCCCCGGCUCAACCGGGGAGGGUCAUUGGAAACUGGGAGACUUGAGUGCAGAAGAGGAGAGUGGAAUUCCAUGUGUAGCGGUGAAAUGCGUAGAUAUAUGGAGGAACACCAGUGGCGAAGGCGGCUCUCUGGUCUGUAACUGACGCUGAGGCUCGAAAGCGUGGGGAGCAAACAGGAUUAGAUACCCUGGUAGUCCACGCCGUAAACGAUGAGUGCUAAGUGUUG